GAUGAACGCUGGCGGCGUGCCUAAUACAUGCAAGUCGAGCGAACAGACGAGAAGCUUGCGUCUCUGAUGUUAGCGGCGGACGGGUGAGUAACACGUGGAUAACCUACCUAUAAGACGGGGAUAACUUCGGGAAACCGGAGCUAAUACCGGAUAAUAUCUUGAACCGCAGGGUUCAAAAGUGAAAGACGGUCGUGCGGGCACGUAUAGAUGGAUCCGCGCUGCAUUAGCUAGUUGGUAAGGUAACGGCUUACCAAGGCAAGGAGGCAUAGGCGACCGGAGAGGGUGGUCGCCCACCCUGGAGCGUAGCCACGCUCCAGGCUCCUACGGGACGCCGCAGUCGGCAACCUUCCGCAGAGGGCGAAAGCCUUACGGAGCAACGCCGCGUGAGUGAUGACGGCCUUCGGAUCGUAAUACUCUGUUAUUAGUUGAGAACAUAUGUGUAAUUAACUGUGCACAUCUUGACGGUACCUAAUCAGAAAGCCCCGGCUAACUACGUG
rnacentral:rRNA from 1 species